rnacentral:rRNA from 1 species
UACGAAGGGGGCUAGCGUUGCUCGGAAUCACUGGGCGUAAAGCGCACGUAGGCGGCUUCUUAAGUCAGGGGUGAAAUCCUGGAGCUCAACUCCAGAACUGCCUUUGAUACUGAGAAGCUUGAGUCCGGGAGAGGUGAGUGGAAUUGCGAGUGUAGAGGUGAAAUUCGUAGAUAUUCGCAAGAACACCAGUGGCGAAGGCGGCUCACUGGCCCGGUACUGACGCUGAGGUGCGAAAGCGUGGGGAGCAAACAGG